rnacentral:rRNA from 1 species
GGGGGACUCGAGUCUUUGACGCAGUUGCGCCCCAAGCCGUCAGGCCGAGGGCACGCCUGCCUGGGCGUCA